rnacentral:rRNA from 1 species
GACGAACGCUGGCGGCGUGCUUAACACAUGCAAGUCGAACGAAGUGGCGAACGGGUGAGUAACGCGUAAUAAACCUGCCCUUCAGAGGGGGACAAGAGUUGGAAACGACUGCUAAUACCGCAUACUGAAGGAGGGGAUUGCGUCUGAUUAGCUAGUUGGGGGGUUAACGGCCCACCAAGGCGAUGAUCAGUAGCCGGGUCUAGUAGGUGACUGGCCACCAUGGGACUGUGACACUGCCCAGACGCCUACUGGAGGGAGCAGUGGGGAAGCUUCCGCAAUGGACGAAAGUCUUACGGAGCAACGCCGCGUGAGUGAUGACGGCCUUCGGGUUGUAAAGCUCUGUUAAUCGGGACGCGGUACCGGAAUAGAAAGCCACGGCUAACUACGUGCCAGCCGCCGCGGUAAUAC